UGAGGAAUAUUGGGCAAUGCCCGCAAGGGUGACCCAGCAACGCCGCGUGGAGGAUGAAUGUCGUAAGAUUGUAAACUCCUGUUAGAGGGGAAGAAUAGUACCGGUUGGACCGGUAUAUGACUGUACCCUCAGAGAAAGCCCCGGCUAACUACGUGCCAGCAGCCGCGGUAAUACGUAGGGGGCAAGCGUUGUCCGGAUUUACUGGGUGUAAAGGGCGCGCAGGCGGGAUAAAAAGUCAGUGGUGAAAUCCUACGGCUUAACUGUAGAACUGCCUUUGAUACUUUUAUUCUUGAGUUCGGGAGAGAGAGACGGAAUUCCGGGUGUAGUGGUGAAAUACGUAGAUAUCUGGAAGAACACCAGUUGCGAAGGCGGUCUCUUGGUCCGACACUGACGCUGAGGCGCGAAAGCGUGGGGAGCAAACA
rnacentral:rRNA from 1 species